AAACCGUUGGAAGGGAAGCGAGUGGAGUCGGUAAUUCGCCUUGCCAGAUUCAGCCGCUCUCGUCCUGCAACGUGCUCUCUCGCGACCUGAACCCAGGCGCGGAUUGCGCGGGCGUGGUACGGGCGCGGUGCACUUCGGCGGGCGAGCGUCAACGUCAGUCAACUACGAGUCACAAACCUGCAAGCACGGUACAUCCUUCGGGAUGGGUAAGUCUUGCGUGCGCACGACUCGCACGAGACUGUAUUGUGUCGCAGCGUGUUCCUUCCCGUCCUGCGGGUGGGCUGCUGCCUAGUGUUGUUGAUCCGGUGAUCCGUUCCGGCGGACGGCCGUGCGCCUGUGCGUCGGCGGUGUCGCUGUUCAACYGACCUGGAACGCAGACACGACGCGCUCAGCACGUUGACCGCCCUACGUCUCCWUCCGACCCGUCUUGAAACACGGACCAAGGAGUCUAACAUGUGCGCAAGUCUCAGGGUGAUUGAAACCCGUUGUGGGCGCAAUGAAGGUAAAUGCGGUCUCGCGGCUGCAGAGAUGAGAGGCGCGGAUAUCGCGCGCUGCAUCAUCGACCGACCUGUUCUACUCUUGGAAAGGUUUGAGUAAGAGCGUACCUGCUGGGACCCGAAAGAUGGUGAACUAUGCCUGAAUAGGGCGAA
rnacentral:rRNA from 1 species